AGAACGAACGCUGGCGGCAUGCCUAAUACAUGCAAGUCGAACGAACUCUUCGGAGUUAGUGGCGCACGGGUGCGUAACGCGUGGGAAUCCGCCCUUGGGUUCGGAAUAACAGUUGGAAACGACUGCUAAUACCGGAUGAUGACGAAAGUCCAAAGAUUUAUCGCCCAGGGAUGAGCCCGCGUAGGAUUAGCUAGUUGGUGAGGUAAAGGCUCACCAAGGCGACGAUCCUUAGCUGGUCUGAGAGGAUGAUCAGCCACACUGGGACUGAGACACGGCCCAGACUCCGUACGGGAGGCAGCA
rnacentral:rRNA from 1 species